UACGUAGGGACCAAGCGUUGUUCGGAUUUACUGGGCGUAAAGGGCGCGUAGGCGGCGUGGUAAGUCACUUGUGAGAUCUCUGAGCUUAACUCAGAACGGCCAAGUGAUACUGCUGUGCUAGAGUGCAGAAGGGGCAAUCGGAAUUCUUGGUGUAGCGGUGAAAUGCGUAGAUAUCAAGAGGAACACCUGAGGUGAAGACGGGUUGCUGGGCUGACACUGACGCUGAGGCGCGAAAGCCAGGGGAGCAAACGGG
rnacentral:rRNA from 1 species